UAGGGAAUCUUCCGCAAUGGACGCAAGUCUGACGGAGCAACGCCGCGUGAGUGAAGAAGGAUUUCGGUUCGUAAAACUCUGUUGUUAGAGAAGAACAGCGCAUAGAGUAACUGUUAUGCGUGUGACGGUAUCUAACCAGAAAGCCACGGCUAACUACGUGCCAGCAGCCGCGGUAAUACGUAGGUGGCAAGCGUUGUCCGGAUUUAUUGGGCGUAAAGCGAGCGCAGGCGGUCUAUUAAGUCUGAUGUGAAAGCCCCCGGCUCAACCGGGGAGGGUCAUUUGAAACUGGUUGACUUGAGUGCAGAAGAGGAGAGUGGAAUUCCAUGUGUAGCGGUGAAAUGCGUAGAUAUAUGGAGGAACACCAGUGGCGAAGGCGACUCUCUGGUCUGUAACUGACGCUGAGGCUCGAAAGCGUGGGUAGCAAACAGG
rnacentral:rRNA from 1 species